ensembl:misc_RNA Y_RNA Y RNA
GGCUGAUCUGAGUGAAGUGGUAUUUACAACUAGUUGAUCACAACCAGUUAGAUUCUAUUGUUCCUUCUCCACUCCCACUGUUUCACUCUACUAGCUUUUU